GCCCGGAUAGCUCAGUCGGUAGAGCAGGGGAUUGAAAAUCCCCGUGUCCGUUCGAUUCCGAGUCCGGGCACCA
rnacentral:tRNA from 1 species